CGUUACAUCCCGACUGGACGCAUGUCCCUGGCUGGACCCCUGUGUCCCCGCUGUUCCCCUGCCACACUGGCCAGCCCCACUGCAGCCCAGCGAGGGAGCAAAACCCAGCACCUUUGCCCCUUCCCGUGGCACCUGGACCCAUCUCCGUCCCGGCAGCAUGGCCCAGGGGUGAUAAACUGCAGAAAAGCAGGACGUGCCUGGCAAGAGUGGGUUUGCUGGCGUGUGCAAACAGGCUGUGCCGGGGCCGACACGCAGAACUGCCGUGUGGGGCAAUCCCUCCCCGGCACGGCCGAUGCCGAGGCUCUGAGUCAGCCCGGUGCUGGCUGUGCCUGGUGCCGGCAGCGCCACGCUCCCGUCCUGCAUCGGGAGAGACUGAAUGCACAAACCUGUCCCAGUUCUCUGUGGGGGCUCCUCGAGCUGCCCUCGCCACUGCUCUGGGCCCUUCCGCUGCAGAAAACCCUUCAGACUCACUCCCCAUCACUAAGUGUUAUGGAGCAGCACGGGGGACACAGAGAUGUCUGUGGGGACAGUGUGGCCCAUGUUCAGGGGUCACCGUGUCCCAGAGGAGUGGCUCUGCUCUCCACCAGACACCUGCAGAGCCGUGGGGGACCCUGGGGAGUGCUGGUGGGGUCUGUGCUGCCCAAAUCUGUGCAAACCUCCCGCUGCCCCAUGGGCAAAGCAAAGCUGGGCAGAGCGGAACGGGCUGCUGGUGUGCGGGGAGCUGCUCCCACCCUUCGCAGUCCCUGCGAUCGCUGCUCCUGUGUCAGGUUUUCUCCAGGAUCAUGCCCUGGACACAGGACCUGGAUGGGGCUGCAGCGGUUCCUUCUCUGCAGGGAACACAUUUGGGACACUGGGAUCUUCCCAGCUGGGAGAAGCUGUGUCACCCCCGUUUUUUGUGCACAAUUGCAGGCAGGGAGAGGCUGAGCCGGGCUGUGAGCCAGGCUUGUGCCUGCACACCAGCCUCAGCAGCUUGGCUGGGCUGAGCUUGGCUGGGCUGGGCUGAGCCCCAGUGCUUAGAGCUCUCCUGGCACCUCGCGGAGAGGAGAGGUUCCACAGCCAGCACUGGGAUAGGCAAAGGCUGAGCAGUGGAAGGAGGGUGAAUAAACACCAUAGAAAACAGAAGCUGGGGUAAACCAGGAGCCAAAGUGGUGUCCGAGGGUCACAGGAAUCGGGAUGUGCCCGCAGAUGACCCUUGUGUGUCGCAGGGGAGGGGGCUGCGCUGGGACACGCUGCAGCAUUUGAAACGCUCCUGUGCACGUCUCUGUUACAGCAUGUCCCAGUAGCACCUGACAGACAGACAGGUGCCACGGGAGCACCCGACAGAUGGACACGUGUCACAGGAGCAUCCCGCAGGCCACGGCCUCCGCCUCGUGUGGGCAGUGAGCGGUUCGCUCACUCAUUAAAUAAACGCUUCCAGGGUUUGGAAGCUUUGCGACGCGCGUUGCCAGGAUCAGCUGUGUAAGGGAAGGAAAUGUGGUCCUUGAGCAAACAGUCUGGGAUUCCCGGCGCUGGCCCCAUGACAGCCGGGCUCACCGGCCGUGCCGCGGCUCUUUCCAGGAGCAGGUUAAUCACCGGGGCUGACGCCUGCCAGAGCCGCCUUCGCUCAUUAAUGGGAUCAAACACUGCGCAUCAGAAAUCCGGCUCAUCCUGAAUCCCAGUCUGUGCCGUCACACAGAGGCUGCGGGAAGGAUGUCAGAGGAGAAAAGCUGGUUUCUAGGAAUGUCCCAGCCUGGAGGGCAAUUCUGAGCUGCAGGAGAAGCAGUAAAGCAAAAUGCCAGGAUGAUUUCUUCCUUUCUGUUACAUUUCCCAGGUGUAUUGGAAAGGCACCGAGACCUCCCCCCUCAGAGCACGGGGUGAAAUGGCUUUGCCAGACUCAAAAAUGAGACCUGCGGCAACCCCAGGCUGGUGCACGUGAGAGCAUUUCCCCCAAAACCCUGGGGUCUCAUAGAGAUGCUGGGCAGCCCUGCCCUUGCUGUCGGUGCCUUUCCGCCUCGCAGGGACCCCCUGCGGUCCCUGUGUGCCACCGAGAUGGUUUCCAGAAGCCACCAAAGCACAACCACAGGGCCAGGUCUUUGACUGAGGGACGAUAUCGCGGGUGUCACAGACCGCUCUGAGCCCUCCCCGCUCCUCCUGCCGAGCCCAAACCAAACCUGGCAGCUCAUGGGGCAUUGUCACGGCCCCGUGGGACUGUCCUGCGCACAGGGCCAGCGUUCAGACUGGGGAGAUGGUUAUUUGCCGGGCUCUGGGCAUAAAAAAACCUGCAGCAACGCGGUGCUCCCCGCCGAGAGGCUCUUGCAAAGGAGAUCAGCAUUGCCACCUCGUGGGGAGCGCGACAAACGCCCGAGAUCCGGCACCUCCAAGAGCAGCUCACGCUGAACACCGAGACCCAGGCCAUGCAGAAUGGGAGACAAUGAGCCGACACCAGCCAUGCAGGACAGCCAGCAAACAGGGACCGAGCGAGGAGGGCUUGAGUUUGCCGAGGUCUGACUGUGUGAGUUGAAACGCAAUAAGUUUCGCAUAUUUAAAGAGAAUAAAAAAAUAAGCAGCUUCA